rnacentral:tRNA from 1 species
GGAGGGGUACCGAAGUGGCCAUAACGGGGCGGUCUUGAAAACCGUUAGCGUGAAAGCGCACGUGGGUUCGAAUCCCACCUCCUCCG